GACGAACGCUGGCGGCGUGCUUAACACAUGCAAGUCGAACGCUGAAGCACCAGCUUGCUGGUGUGGAUCAGUGGCGAACGGGUGAGUAAUACGUGAGUAACCUGCCCUUGACUCUGGGAUAAGCCCGGGAAACUGGGUCUAAUACUGGAUGCUACAUGUCACCGCAUGGUGGUGUGUGGAAAGGGUUUACUGGUCUUGGAUGGGCUCACGGCCUAUCAGCUUGUUGGUGAGGUAAUGGCUCACCAAGGCGACGACGGGUAGCCGGCCUGAGAGGGUGACCGGCCACACUGGGACUGAGACACGGCCCAGACUCCUACGGGAGGCAGCAGUGGGGAAUAUUGCACAAUGGGCGAAAGCCUAAUGCAGCGACGCCGCGUGAGGGAUGACGGCCUUCGGGUUGUAAACCUCUUUCAGCAGGGAAGAAGCCACAAGUGACGGUACCUGCAGAAGAAGCGCCGGCUAACUACGUG
rnacentral:rRNA from 1 species